AUGUGACUGUGGAACCCUUUUCUCCAGGAAGGAUAGCUUCAUAACUCACAGGGCAUUCUGUGACGCGUUAGCAGAAGAAAGUGCAAGACUCUCAGCUCACCAAUUAGUUACCACAAAUCCAACUGCCCAAACUCUUCUUCUGCAAAACCCACAAUCCCACAAUUCUCUCUUCCCUUUCACUACCCACCAUCAUCAUCAGCUCUCCCUCAACCCCUGGGACCCACCACCUCAUAACCCUAGCAACCCUACUCAAAACCCAGUUCAAAUCAAGCCUGAAACUCAACAUUUCCAGCUUGCACCAGUCUUCCGAGAACCGCCACCAUCGUUGCCAACCCACCAGGGUUUGAUAACCUCACCGUUCCAAAGCCUAUCAAACCCUGCCGUGUCGGCAUCAUCGAACCACCUGUCAGCCACUGCACUUCUCCAAAAGGCUGCAACUGUGGGUGCAACUCAGACAGUGGGUCCCAGUUACACGACCCAAUUGGACAUGGGCGAUUCGAGGGCGGUGAGUCAGGCCGGGGGUGACUCAGUGGGUCAAAUCCCUCGUCAGGGAUCUUACCUGGACCAUCUGGCCGCGUGGCAGAAGAAUGACCGUUUGACAAGAGACUUUCUGGGUCUGACCGGUGACGGCCACGCUGCCAAUGGCAAUGGAAACGUGGCGAAUGGGAAUGGUGGUGUUAACGUUGUCAUCAAUGUGAGGGAAAUGCUAACGUACACAGGAGGAGUAGGAUUGCAGCAAUACAGUGAGAGAGACCACACACUGUUGAAACCCCAUGGUUUUGGAUGCCCCCGACAACCUCCCCCCUCCUCGGAAGCGUGGGGUGACUGCUAAGUGCAGAAAUGGUAGAACAGUAAUUAAGUUUUUGCUUGCCAAUGUGUAAAAUGACAGAAAUACCCUCAGUUUCCUUGCCUUUCAAAAUAUGACAAGAAGAGUUGAAGAACGAUCGAUAUUCUUGUCAUGUGACCCUCAUCUUUUAUUUUAUGCUUCAUAUAAUUACAUCGUUUGUUUCAGACAUUUCUAAAUGCUUUAAUGCUUUUAGUUUCUUAUAUAAUAAUGGAUUUAAGUCCAUUUCUG
rnacentral:misc_RNA from 1 species